GGCUUAGUAGUGUAUGGUGCACACCUGCGGUAUAUACCAUAGUGUUCAAUGAGUUUAGCAGGAGGACCCGGUUCGAUUCCGGGUUAGGCCU